rnacentral:rRNA from 1 species
GACGAACGCUGGCGGCGUGCCUAAUACAUGCAAGUUGAGCGCUGAAGGUUGGUACUUGUACCAACUGGAUGAGCAGCGAACGGGUGAGUAACGCGUGGGGAAUCUGCCUUUGAGCGGGGGACAAAAUUUGGAAACGAAUGCUAAUACCGCAUAAAAACUUUAAACACAAGUUUUAAGUUUGAAAGAUGCAAUUGCAUCACUCAAAGAUGAUCCCGCGUUGUAUUAGCUAGUUGGUGAGGUAAAGGCUCACCAAGGCGAUGAUACAUAGCCGACCUGAGAGGGUGAUCGGCCACAUUGGGACUGAGACACGGCCCAAACUCCUACGGGAGGCAGCAGUAGGGAAUCUUCGGCAAUGGACGAAAGUCUGACCGAGCAACGCCGCGUGAGUGAAGAAGGUUUUCGGAUCGUAAAACUCUGUUGGUAGAGAAGAACGUUGGUGAGAGUGGAAAGCUCAUCAAGUGACGGUAACUACACAGAAAGGGACGGCUAACUACGUG